CCGUCCCGGCCUCCCAAAGUGCUGGGAUUAUAGGUAUGAAGCUACCACGCCCAGCCCACAGUGCUUCUCCAUGGCCGCGGUGCCCUUCCCACGCCAAGGCCUAGCCGCCUUCCUGACCACCAGCUUUCGUUUUGGCUAAUCGUCCCAGUCCACAAAUAGUUGCAUCUUUAGAAUAGAGCACAGUUCUUAUCCUCAGUUUGACAUGCUACACUACUGGCAAGGAUGUAUUCUUGGGACAGCUUUUUAAAGUCUGUCUGCAAAGAGCACCAAGAUUUAAUGUGUCUCCCCAGACUGAACGGGGAUGGCAAUUUUCGCAAAGAGCGGUCCUGCAGGCCAAGGGGACCACAGCUUGGGCUGAACCCCCGUCAGUUGGUCUAGACAGCAACUGCUCUAAUUUUGGAAGUGAGGGCGAUCAGUAAAGCCAGCAAGUGGCAUGACUGUAGCUUCAUCUAUUGUGGACACAAUUAAGAACACAUUCAUGAACUGCCCAAGGCCAAUGCCCUGUUUUUAGAAGGCAUGUUCCCCAUACCUGGCUUCUGGCUACCACCUUAUAAGAAGCAAGCAGUGACAGUUCCCAGUCCCGAGCCAUUUGCUGAAUUGGGCACUUUUUCACCAUGUUCUAGCAUCCUCUAUGGCAUAGUCAUUAAAAGCCCGGAUUCUGGAUUCAGACUGCCUGGGUGGGAACUCUGUCACAGCAACUUGCUCCGAAUCUCCAUUUCCUCAGCUGUAGAACAGGCAUGCAGAGAGUUCAGCACUCCGAAUACCCUGCUCCCCAAUUUGUUAUGAAGAUCAAAUGAAUGAAUCCAGGUAAUACACUUGGAACAUUUCCUGUCACAGAAUGAGCAGAAAAUAAAUAUUGGACAUGACCACACUCAAUGUAGGUUCUGCCUGCUUUAAAUACUCUUUCACAUGAUUUUAAAUGUCUUAGGGACCUUUUCACCCCAUGCCUAACAAACCACAUGGAUAUAGUACAUGCACAGUCAGUAAUCACUGAGUGAAUGAAUAAAUGAAUGAAACAUGUAUUGAAGCAGUGCCUAAAAUAUGACACAUUCCAAUUCCUGCCUCAAAUUAGAGAUGGCCUAAAAGACUAAGGUCAUUUCUAAGAGUCUUUCUUUAAAGAAUUACUAAUUCACAUUCUAUCAAUUUAUGGAUUCAUAGCUUGACUUAUUAUUUGUGAGCUAAUUUGUUAAUUAUUAUUUGUGAGCUGAUUUGUGAAUUAUUAUCUGUGAGCUGAUUUGUGAAUUAUUAUUUGUGAGCUGACUCACAAAUAAUCUGACAACUAGGCCACAGUCGCUAAAAGAAAAAAAAAAAAUGUGCUUGUUUUAUUUAAAGUGUAUUAAAGUAGUAACUAUAGGUAAAUAUUUUAAAAUAUAUAAAUCAUAUGACCAUGAAAUGUCAGGGGACAUUCUGAAAGCCCCCUGUUAAGAAGUCCCCCAUGUAAGUAAGAUAGGCUCUAGGUCCAUUUAAUCAAAGGAAGUACGAACGUGUGCAACACAACGUGUUAGUUGUGGACACUAAAGGUCUUCAGGUGGUACUAGUGAUGCACUGUUAUGUAGUGUCAGCUUUUACAUUUAAUCCCCACAUAAUCAUGGGAGGGAAAUGUUAUUAUCAUAUUAUAUGGAAGUAGAAAAAUGCAGAAGCUGAUUCAAAGCCAAGUUUCUCUUCAGGGACUUUCAAAUUGCCAUUUUUGUUUUAUCCUAGAAGUAUGCUUCUUCAUCUCUAUUUCAAAUUUGGUUCACAAAGGCAUACAGCAGGUUUACUAUGUGUGUGUUUAUUGAUACAUCAUAACUGUACAUAUUUAUGGGGUACAUGUGAUAUUUUGAUACACACAUAUAAUGUGCAAUGAUCAAAUGAGGGUAAUUAGUAUACCCAUCACCUUGAACAUUUAUCAUUUAUGUGUGUCAGAAACAUUUCAAAUCUUUUUAGGAAAGAAGAUUAGGAAAUUUACAAUAUACUCUGGCCAGGAAUGGUGACUGAUGCCUAUAAUCCCAGCACUUUGGGAGGCCGUGGCAGGUGCAUCACUUAAGGGCAGGAGUUCAAGACCAACCCGGCCAACAUAGUGAAACCCUGUCUCUACUA